UGGGGAAUAUUGCACAAUGGGCGCAAGCCUGGUGCAGCCAUGCCGCGUGUGUGAAGAAGGCCUUCGGGUUGUAAAGCACUUUCAGCGGGGAGGAAGGCGAUAAGGUUAAUAACCUUGUCGAUUGACGUUACCCGCAGAAGAAGCACCGGCUAACUCCGUGCCAGCAGCCGCGGUAAUACGGAGGGUGCAAGCGUUAAUCGGAAUUACUGGGCGUAAAGCGCACGCAGGCGGUCUGUCAAGUCGGAUGUGAAAUCCCCGGGCUUAACCUGGGAACUGCAUUCGAAACUGGCAGGCUAGAGUCUUGUAGAGGGGGGUAGAAUUCCAGGUGUAGCGGUGAAAUGCGUAGAGAUCUGGAGGAAUACCGGUGGCGAAGGCGGCCCCCUGGACGAAGACUGACGCUCAGGUGCGAAAGCGUGGGGAGCAAACAGG
rnacentral:rRNA from 1 species